UCGUUCCCCCCAAAAAAUGGCGGACAUACAUUUGCUUGCAUGCUCUCUGUGAUCUCUGCGAUCUGGAAUUGACCCAACAUCCCUCUGGGAGAUAGGAAGCCAAUACCUGUCUCUCCAAAUACGAUUGAGUGGCCGCGCGAGACGGUGAAAUAGAAAACGAAGGAAAAUGGAACGCGGUGAGAAAGGAGGAGGGAAAAUGGAGAAACGUGUACCUUCACCUUUCGAAGACAUUUCUGUCCAUAUUGCUGUAGCAGCUCACGGCAAACGGACAUUUCGACGUAAUGUAAAUAGAAGCUCAUAUGAUAACUAUCAAGAACUCGCUGAACCAUUUCGCUACUUAUGUAUUAUUAAUCUUUUUGCAUGGGUAGCGAUGGGAAUACAAAUCCCCAUUGAGUUAGAUGCUAAUCUGACACAACUGCGAGAAAAUUUUUUGUCGCUCUAUACGGUAGAAUAAUUGCGCUAAUUCGCAAAAAGCAAAGACGAGCUUCAUUUCGUUGAAAAAAUAAGUUAUAGGAUUUCUCUUUUUCCGAACGAAAAUUAUUACUGGCCAUGUUCGCCGCAUCUACAUCACGAGUUUCACGAGUUAGCUUGUUUACGGACCAAUUUCGCACGGAUACAGGCUGCGCGAAAAUAGCAUUUUCUUUUUCUAGAAAUAUAAGCCUUCAAACUUGUGUUUUAACCUUCAACUUCUGAAAUGCUUCUUCGAGAGCUCUUUGUGAGAGCUAUUAUGUACAACUGUUACCACGUUUCAUAUAUCACGCAAUA